UGGCCCCAUAGGCCUCAGUUUAUAUCUUACACUGAAUUUAGGACUUACAGCAAUUUGUCAUUCCUACAAUUUUUCUCCAACUAGUAAGCAGAACAAGCAUCAGAGAAUGAGAACUAGAUUUUUUUUUUUACUUUAAUAAGGAAAAAUAUGAAUACAAGAAAGAGAGGAAAUUAACUGGAAGACAAGAAGAGAAAUCACCCCACAGUCUGCAUAACAACCUUAAUAAGGGACAACAUGAGUUUCUGUGAUCUUGGAACCUGUUCUUGGUUUUUUCUUGGAUUUAAAUCAGAGAAGAUACUAGAUGUGAGCACUUUAUGGGUGGGUAAAGAAAAAUGAAAACAAAACGUGCUUCUAAAGGGAAUAAUAAAAAUAAUAUAAGCAUGCUUAUUUCAAUAUUAAGUCACUCUCACCUUUACUGUCAAAAAUCAAAAUACUCAUGUAAAAAAAAUUAACAGAUGUAAUGUUACUAAAUCAGCCUCAUGAACAAUGACAUUACCUUAUUACACCAAACAACAUGACAAGUUUAU